rnacentral:rRNA from 1 species
UACAGAGGGUGCAAGCGUUAAUCGGAAUUACUGGGCGUAAAGCGCACGUAGGUGGCUUGAUAAGUUGGGUGUGAAAUCCCCGGGCUUAACCUGGGAAUUGCAUUCAAGACUGUCUUGCUAGAGUGUGGAAGAGGGAAGCGGAAUUUCCGGUGUAGCGGUGAAAUGCGUAGAUAUCGGAAGGAACACCAGUGGCGAAAGCGGCUUCCUGGUCCAGCACCGACGUUCAGGCACGAAAGCGUGGGGAGCAAACAGG